GAGGUGUCGAUGGUCAGGGGGGUUAGGAGGUGUCUGGAUGGUCAGGAGGUGUCUGGAUGGUCAGGAGGGUUAGGAGGUGUCUGGAUGGUCAGGAGGGUUAGGAGGUGUCUGGAUGGUCAGGAGGGUUAGGAGGUGUCUGGAUGGUCAGGAGGGUUAGGAGGUGUCUGGAUGGUCAGGAGGGUUAGGAGGUGUCUGGAUGGUCAGGAGGGUUAGGAGGUGUCUGGAUGGUCAGGAGGGUUAGGAGGUGUCUGGAUGGUCAGGAGGGUUAGGAGGUGUCUGGAUGGUCAGGAGGGUUAGGAGGUGUCUGGAUGGUCAGGAGGGUUAAGGUUAGGAGGUGUCUGGUUGGUCAGGAGGGUUAAGGUUGGGAGGUGUCUGGUUGGUCAGGAGGGUUAGGAGGUGUCUGGUUGGUCAGGAGGGUUAAGGUUGGGAGGUGUCUGGAUGGUCAGGAGGUGUCUGGUUGGUCAGGAAGGUUAAGGUUGGGAGGUGUCUGGAUGGUCAGGAGGUGUCUGGAUGGUCAGGAGGGUUAAGGUUAGGAGGUGUCUGGAUGGUCAGGAGGGUUAAGGUUAGGAGGUGUCUGGAUGGUCAGGAGGGUUAAGGUUAGGAGGUGUCUGGUUGGUCAGGAGGGUUAAGGUUGGGAGGUGUCUGGUUGGUCAGGAGGGUUAAGGUUAGGAGGUGUCUGGUUGGUCAGGAGGGUUAAGGUUGGGAGGUGUCUGGAUGGCCCAGGUAUUUAGAAACGGUCCUGACAUUGUCCUGUCUCAUGCCCUGGAUGUGAGCGUCUAGUCUCU